CAGAUUUGGAUCGGGGGGAAAAUCAAAAUGGUCGAUUAGUCGUCUCGUUCCGAUUAUCGUCUUCCGAGGUUUAUCCUUUAGUUCGAGUUGGAAGAGCCGGAGAUAUCAUCACACUAUCGAGUCAUUAUGUGAGUUGAGAAGAUGGUAUAUCAUCAUGAUUUAAGGCAUGUAUAGGAUAGACUAUAGGUAGAAUGAUAUUUUGUCUUUGUAUACAUUAUAGCCAUGCGAAGAUGGCUCGCUUAUUUUGUUUAGAGAAGCCUUAUAAUUGAACUAAUGUGUUGAAAUGUUUUAGUUAUAACUUGAUAGUAGUUAAUUUGUUAUUAGAUA